rnacentral:lncRNA from 10 species
CUGCAAUGAUGGAGGGAAGGCAGAGCAUGCGGCCUGGGCCAGAUCCUUCCUGGGAGAGGUGACGUCCAAGCUGAGAUCUGAAGGUAGGGGCAGCCCUGGGAAGAGCUGGGGACACCUAAGUGGCAGGAGUGGCAAGUGCAAGGCUGGAGGAGAGGAAGGGGCGGAACUGUGGGAAAUAGAAGGAGACCAGGGGCUGCGAGGAGGAGCAGCCAGCCCACGAGGAUGGAGUUAGGGCUUGUUCCCCCCUUAUUAACCCAGGGAGUGGCCAGGCCUGGCACGGAGCAGGGGCUCCCCUUCUGAUGGGAGGCCAUGAAGGAGUGGUGGAGGUCGAGCUGAAGCAGCUUUGUCUUGCAGUCCUGCAGUCCUACAGUCCUGUUAUCUGCCCUGGAUCAGGCACCCAUGAUUUGCCCAGGAUGGAGCCGAACAAUUUACCAACACUGUGUAACUGAAUUCUCAGAACCAACCCAGGAGGCUGGUACCAUCCUUCUUCCAUUGUCAUGAGUGAGAAAUGAGGUGACCCACCCAACAUCAACAUGGUAGAGCAGGAAUUUGCUUUUUCAAUGUAUUGAGGCAUAAUGGACACUGGAUACCUGCACAUAUUUAAAUCGCACAGCUUGAUGAGCUUUGGCACAGGUGCAGCACACCCCUAAAACCAUCACUACCAUCAAGACGGUGAACACACCCACCCCCACCCCACCCCACUGCCUCCUGUCCCAACAAAAGUUUCCUCAUGCUGGCUGGGCACAGUGGCUCACACCUGUAAUCUCAGUGCUUUGGGAGGCCAAGGUAGGAGGAUCAUCUGAGACCAGGAGUUUGAGACCAGCCUGGGCAACACAGAGAGACCCUGUCUCUACAAUAAAUAAAUAAAUACAUACAUACAUACAUACAUACAAAAAUUAGCCAAGCAUGGUGGCAUGUGUCUAUGAUCCCAGCUACUUGGGAGGCUGAGACCUGAAGCCAGGAGAUGAAGGUGUCACAGUGAGCUAUGACUGCGCUACUGCACUCCAGCAUGGGCGACAGUGAGACCCUGUCUUAAAAAAAAAAAAAAAGAAAAGAAAAGAAAGAAAAAGUUUCCCAUUGCCAAUUUGUAGUCCUUCCUGGACCCCAGCAUCCCCAGGCAACCACAGAGCUGCUUUCUGUCAUUACCGACUCGCACGCAUCUUCCGGGACUUCACACCGACACAAUCCCCCAUGCCUUGCUGGUGGCUGCCGGCUCCUCUCCCAGUCAUGGUGCUGUGGUGCUGUGUGCACGGUUGUUCCGGCUCCUCUCCUGGUCAUGGUGCUGUGGUGCUGUGUGCACGGUCGUUCCUGUUGGUGAGUCGCCUUCCAUGGGACGGAUGUGCCACAACCUGUUGCUCCCUUUGCCUGCGGGACGGAGCAACACUGUGCUGUCUCCAGUUUCCGCCUUUUACAAAUAAAGCUGCUGUGAACACUCAUGUGCAAGGCUCUGUGUGGAGGAUGCAGCAGAAGCGACGCUGUGUGACUUCCGAGGCUGAGGCUGCAGAGAUUUGAGGCAUCUGCUCUCACCCAGCUUGAAGUGCUUCCUCUUGGAAGCCAGCCACCGUGAAAAACCCCGCCAUGCUGUGAGGAAGCCCAAGAGAGCUGCAUGGAGAGAAGGGCCUGUGGAAGAGCCCUGAGGUGCCACUCACAUGAAGUGAACCUUUGUGGACCUUCCAGCCCAGCUACCAGCAAAACGCAAGCAGCGAGUGUCCCCAGUCAACGCUUCUCUCUAUAGGAGACCUGUAAAUGGGGUGGCGGGGGGAGCAGGAGGAAUUUUCUGAUCUCACACACUGUUAUGAGUUGAAUUGUCUCCCCACCCAAAUUCAUAUGUUGAAGCCCCCACCUUCAGUACUUUACAAAGUAAUGUAUUUGGAGAUAAUAUCUUUUUUUUUUUUUUUUUUUGAGACAGAGUCUCACUCUGUCGUUGCUCAGGCUGGAGUGCGGUGAUGCGAUCUCAGCUUGCUGCAACCUCUGUUUCCCGGGUUCAAGAGAUUCUUGUGCCUCAGCCUCCCGAGUAGCUGGGAUGAGAGGCGUGGUGUUGCAUGCUAAUUUUUUAGCUUGGACUACUAUUUUUGUAUUUUAGUAGAGACCGGGUUUCACCAUGUUGGCCAGGUUGGUCUUGAACUUCUGACCUCAAAUGAUCUUCAAAUUUUUUGUAAUUUUUUAGCGUGGGCUAGUUUUUUUGUAUUUUUAGUGGAGAGGGGGUUUCACCAUGUUGGCCAGGCUGGUCUGGAACUUCUGACCUCAAAGGAUCUGCCUUCCUUGGCCUCCCAAAGUGCUGGGAUUACAGGCGUGGGCCACUGUGCCUGGCUGGAGAUAAAAUCUUUAAAGUGGCAAUUCAAUUAAAAUGAAGUCGUCAGGGUGGGCCUUAAUCCAAUGUGUCUAGUGUCCUUAUAAGAAGGAAAUGUGGACUCACAGACUGAGGCGUCAGGCAGGUGUGCACAGGCAGGAGGCCACCUGAGGACACAGGCGAGCCAGGGAGGGAGGGCCUUGGAAGAAACCAGCCCUGCUGGCACCUUGAUCUUGGACUUCCAGCCCCCAAAGCUGUGAGAAAAUACAUUUUUAUUAUUCAAGACACCCAGUAUGUGGUAUCUCGUUAUGGUGGCCCCGGCAAAGUAAUACACUCAACAUACAAUGGUGGAAUAGGAUGACCCACAAACGCUCUCCGUUGGAAAGGAGAAGAACAAGACUGGGCGCAAUGGCUCACGCCUGUAGUCCCAGCACUUUGGGAGGCUGAGGUGGGCGGAUCACUUGAGGCCAGGAGUUCAAGACCAGCCUGGACAACAUGGCGAAACCCAUCUCUACUAAAAAUACAAAAAUUAGCCAGGCAUGGUUGCAUGCACCUGUAAUCCCAGCUACUUGGGAGGCUGAGGCAUGAGAAUUGCUUGAACUCAGGAAGUGGAGGCUGCAGUGAGCCAAGAUUGCACCACUGCACUCCAGCCUGGGUGAUACAGUGAGAGCAAAGAAAAAAGAAAGAAAGAGAGAGAGAGAGAAAAGAGAAAGGAAGGAAGGAAGGAGGAAGGAAGGAAGGAAGGAAGGAAGGAAGGAAGGAAGGAAGGAAGGAAGGAAGGAAGGAAAGAGAAGAGGAGAGAAGAGAAGAGAAGAAUAGAGGCGGUGUGGUGGCUCACACCUGUAACCCCAGCAUUUGGGGAGGCCAAGGUGCGGGGGUCGCUUGAGCCCAGGAGUUUAAGACCAGCCUGGGCAACAUAGCAAGACCCCGUCUCUACAAAACAAUACAAAAAUUAGCCAGGCAUGGUGGUUCAUGCCUGUAGUCCCAGCUACUCAGGAGGCUGAGGCAGGAGGAUCACCUGAGCUGGGAGGUUGAAGCUGCAAUGAACUGUCAUCACACCACUGUAUUCCAGCCUGGGCGACAGAGCAAAACUCUGUCUUAAAAGUUAAAAAAGGGCCGGGCGUGGUGGUUCACACCUGUAAUCCCAGCACUUUGGGAGGCUGAGGCGGGUGGAUCACCUGAGGUCAGGAGUUCAAGACCAGCCUGGCCAACAUGGUGAAACCCCAUCUCUACUAAAAAUACAAAAAUUAGCUGGGCGUGGUGGUGGGCACCUGUAAUCCCAGCUACUCAGGAGGCUGAGGCAGGAGAAUCGCUUGAACCCAGGAGGCAGAGGCUGCAGUGAGCCGAGACUGUGCCACUGCCCUCUAGCCUGGGUGACAGAGUGAGACUCCGUGUCAAACAAACAAACAAGCAACAACAACAACAAAAACAAAAUUUAAAAAAAAGAAAGGAGAGGGGUGGAGCAGUAGCAAGUGCUGGUCCUCAUGAGUUCUGAGUCCUGCUGGGUGGAUUCGGCAAGUGCCACCUGCCCUGGGGAAAGAAACCCCUCGACCAGGCCCCAUGGUGCUCUCUGGAAAUUACUCCCGACUCCCCUGUUCUCCUGCCCUUGGGCCGUCCUCUGGGAGGCCUCCUUUUCUAUAACCUCCUUGACCACACGGGAUGAGGACCCUGGAGAAGAGGGUUUCCCUGGGGGCUGAGCAGCUUCCUCGGGCUGCUUCCCCGUUGGCGCCCAGAAGUGGUUUUGUGUUGUUGACGGUCACAGUCUCUUUUAAUCCAGCUGACAGCUCUGCGGACAGUGCCACCCUCUUUAAAACUUUGUAACUUUUGCCCAAUUGUUGUCACUCAGCUCUUUUUGCCAAAGAUACACCCAAGGCCGGGUGCGGUGGCUCACGCCUGUAAUUCCAGCACUUUGGGAGGCCAAGGUGGAAGGAUCACCUGAGGUUGGGAGUUCAGGACCAGCCUGGCCAACAUGGAGAAACCCUGUCUCUACUAAAAAUACAAAAUUAGCCGGGCAUGGUGGCGCAUGCCUGUAACCCCAGCUACUCGGGAGGCUGAGGCAGGAGAAUCACUUGAACCCGGGAGGCGGAGGUUGCCGUGAGCUGAGAUCGCACCAUUGCACUCCAGCCUGGGCGACAGAGCGAAACUCUGUCUCAAAAAAAAAAAAAAAGACACACCUAACUUUCUUCUAGACAUGGCUUUCUAGACAGAACUGUGGGCCUGCAAGCUUUUCUGAGGUUUCAACAAAGGGCGUGAUGGCCACACCCUUGGUAUGAUCUUUACCCUGAGACUGAGUCUUAACUGGGCUCUAUCACACAGAGUGUUUCUUAGUUUUAUUAUUAUUAUUUUCUUAAGCCCAGAAUAUUCUUUAUUGACUAUUUGUAGAGUAUCCAUUUUAAAGAGUCUUCACAGAAAGUUUAAAAUUCAUAAUUAGCUGGGCAUGGUGGCACAUGCCUGUGGUCCCAGCUACUCAGGAGGCUGAGGAAGGAGGAUUGCUUAAGCCCAGGAGGUCAAGGCUGCAGUGAGCUGGGAUCGUCACUGCAUUCCAGCCUGGGUGACAGAGUAAGACCCUGUCUCAAAAAAAAAAAAAAAGAAAAGAAAAGAAAAGGAAGAAGAAGAAGAAGAAAGAAAGCUUAAAAUUCACAAUUAGACUUCUCAAACAAUACAUUUCUGGGGACAGACAAAGUUAAAUUUAAAACUCUUAUCUGCUCCAAGAUCAUAUUGUGUGUUCCAAGCACAAAUAUGUCAGAAAUUUUUUCUAAAAUGUCAUUUGGCACUUGAGUCUUGCAGAAGCGACAAACUGCCAGAGGGGCAGGGACUGUGUCUGUUUUGCCCACUUAUUAUGCAAAAGAGCAGGAUUUUCCAAAAAUGGCCCUGGGUGCUCACUCUAGGUUGUCUGGGUGAUGAACUGGCAGGAUGGGGUGGAGAAUUGGAUCGCACCUUUUUCCAACUCGGGGAUAAGUGGUUCGUGCCCAAGCACAGCUUCCCUGGCCCACCCCAGCCUUCUCCCAGCUGGGGGCACAGCACCCAAGCUCAGCCUCCUGCAGCACAGGUGGCCUCCUGCACGUGACAGUGUCUGGAUCCUCCCACGGACUAUGGACCUUUGGGCACUGGGCGCCUGGAGCACUCACUUAGUUGCUCUUUCAUUGGACCGAGAUGAGGAAUAGUUGCCUUUUUCAAUCCUGCAAAUCCAACAUUUCUGGAUUUUCUCUUUCCCUUUCAUUUCUGCUUGCAAGUAGGUUAAUUCCCUUAGAUCCCAUCUCCUGUCUGUAGGGCCCUGUGAAAUGCGGCGUAUUCGUUUGCUAGGGCUGUGGUCACAAAGUCCUGGGUGGCUGAAACACAGAAACACAUUGUUUCACAGUUUGGGAGGCUGGGAAUCCAAGAUCAAGGUGUCAGCAGGUUGGUUCCUCAUGAGCGCCGUAGGGAAGGAUCUGUUCCAGGCCUCCCACGUUGGUUUAUGGAUGGUUGAUUUCUCCCCGGGGUCUCCAUGUCAUCUUCCCUCUGAACAUGUCUGGGUCAAAUCGCC